UGUGCUGGCAAGAUCCGUCCAUGCAAACCAGAAACAAGUACAAUAACCGCUAAUGACGCGCCGAAUUAUUACCGCCCUGUUGAAAUUCGCCAUGCGCGUUUACUUUCGGCGCGUGGAAGUCGCCGGAAUCAAAAACGUGCCGCUGACGAGUCCGGUCAUCUUUGUCUUAAACCAUCCGAACGCUCUGGUCGAUCCGGUGUUUCUCCUCUGUCUUGCUCCGCGUCGCGUUUCAUUUCUGGCGAAGGCGCCACUAUUCAAGAUGCCUGUCC
rnacentral:misc_RNA from 1 species